UCGGAACUCCUGACAAUGCAGCAGGAAUCACAAGCCUUUUGAAUCAAAUCCUGUGAUUCAGGUCUUAAAACCUGAACUUGACUGCCUCCCCAUGGGAGUCACAAGUUCAGAACUACUGGCUUUUGUAAAAUUAGAUCAAUGAAAACCUUGAUACAAUCCUUGUCCACAUCUUCAAAACCAGAAGACCUCAUAUUCCAGUUUGCCCAGAAUAGUCCAGGUGUUCCAACAGCCCCAGCUGAGAUCUCAGAUAACAGCCAGUGUCAAUUGUUAAGCAGUCAGCAUUAUAAGAUAGUUAUCUCUCAUUUGGGAUGCUCACUCUUGGAACCCAGCCACCAUGUUGUGAGAAAGCUCAGGCCACAUGCAGAGGCCACAUAAAGUGAAGCCUGUGAAAAUUGAAUAAAGGAGGUGAAUCACAAUCUGGAGCUGACUUAAGAGAAUGAAUUCAAUGACAGCUACCUCAUAGGUUUGUUCUAAAAAAAAAUGUAAAAUUGUGUAAGUUAACACAGUGUCUGUAAAACCA